rnacentral:rRNA from 1 species
CACGUAGGGUGCGAGCGUUGUCCGGAAUUACUGGGCGUAAAGGGCGCGUAGGCGGCCUUCUAAGUCGAACGUGAAAUCCCUGGGCUCAACCCAGGAACUGCGUCCGAUACUGGAAGGCUUGAAUCCGGGAGAGGGAUGCGGAAUUCCAGGUGUAGCGGUGAAAUGCGUAGAUAUCUGGAGGAACACCGGUGGCGAAGGCGGCAUCCUGGACCGGUAUUGACGCUGAGGCGCGAAAGCCAGGGGAGCAAACGGG